ACGGGGAGCAGCAGGCGCGAAACCUUUACACUGCACGACAGUGCGAUAAGGGGACCCCGAGUGCGAGGGCAUACAGUCCUCGCUUUUCGUGACCGUAAGGAGGUCACAGAAUAAGGGCUGGGCAAGACCGGUGCCAGCCGCCGCGGUAAUAUCGGCAGCUCGAGUGAUGGCCACUAUUAUUGGGCCUAAAGCGUCCGUAGCUGGCCGAACAGGUCCGUCGGGAAAUCCGCUCGCUCAACGAGCGGACGUCCGGCGGAAACCAGUCGGCUUGGGACCGGAGGACCCGAGGGGUACGUCCGGGGUAGGAGUGAAAUCCUGUAAUCCUGGACGGACCACCGGUGGCGAAAGCGCCUCGGGAGGACGGAUCCGACAGUGAGGGACGAAAGCUUGGGUCACGAACCGGAUUAGAUACCCGGGUAGUCCAAGCUGUAAACGAUGCUCGCUAGGUGUGGCACUGGCUACGAGCCAGUGCUGUGCCGUAGGGAAGCCGAGAAGCGAGCCGCCUGGGAAGUACGUCCGCAAGGAUGAAACUUAAAGGAAUUGGCGGGGGAGCAC
rnacentral:rRNA from 1 species